UACAGAGGGGGCAAGCGUUUGUUCGGAAUUACUGGGCGUAAAGGGCGCGUAGGCGGCCCGCUAAGUCGAACGUGAAAUCCCCGGGCUCAACCCGGGAACUGCGUCCGAUACUGGUGGGCUUGAAUCCGGGAGAGGGAUGCGGAAUUCCAGGUGUAGCGGUGAAAUGCGUAGAUAUCUGGAGGAACACCGGUGGCGAAGGCGGCAUCCUGGACCGGUAUUGACGCUGAGGGCGCGAAAGCCAGGGGGAGCAAACGGG
rnacentral:rRNA from 1 species